rnacentral:rRNA from 1 species
UACGAAGGGGGCUAGCGUUGCUCGGAAUCACUGGGCGUAAAGGGCGCGUAGGCGGGCCGCCAAGUUCGAGGUGAAAUCCUCCGGCUCAACCGGAGAACUGCCUCGAAUACUGGAGGCCUCGAGGCGGGUAGGGGCACGCGGAACUGUGGGUGGAGCGGUGAAAUGCGUUGAUAUCCACAGGAACUCCGGUGGCGAAGGCGGCGUGCUGGACCCGAUCUGACGCUGAGGCGCGAAAGCCAGGGGAGCAAACGGG